CCUACGGGUGGCAGCAGUGGGGAAUAUUGGACAAUGGAGGAAACUCUGACCCAGCGACGCCGCGUGAGUGAUGAAGGUCUUCGGUUUGUAAAGUUCUGUCAUCAGGGAUGAAAACCAUGACGGUACCCCAAUAGCACGCCGCUGCUAACUACGUGCCAGUAGCCGCGGUACUACGGGGGUGGCAAGCGUUAUCCGGAAGUACUGGGCGUAAAGGGGUCGUAGGCGGCGUAGCAAGUCUGCAGUGUACUGCCGGGGCCCAACCCCGGAGCUACCGCCAAAACUAUGAGGCUGGAGUGCAGGGGGGGUAAGUGGAAUUCCUAGUGUAGCGGUGGAAUGCGUAGAUAUUAGGAGGAACACCAGCGGCGAAGGCGACUUACUGGACUGUAACUGACGUUGAGGCACGAAGGCGUGGGGAGCAAACAGGAUUAGAUACCCGAGUAGUC
rnacentral:rRNA from 1 species